UCUAAUAAUUACCUUGCUUUAUAUAGAAGAUUAAGAUUAAUUUGAUCCAAUCUCAUUCCCAGCCCAGGAACUUUAUUGUUGAUCUUCAAAUAAAUAGCUUCGUCAGGCUGAACACGUAUAACAAGCUCAUUUGUAGCUCUGUCAAGAUCAGUCCCAAAGUUCCUAUUGUAUAAAUUGCCAGGAACGUGUCUAAACUGCACUCUUAUCUCAGCCCUGAGAAUGGUAACAGGCAAAGUUUAAGGACAAAAUUGACGAAUUGGAAUUGCAUUUUGGUUGUUCCUAAAAGUUACUCUUCCAUAUAGUUUUAUUAGUAAAAAUGUAUUUGACAAUCAUAUUUCGCAAAAUAAGUAAGUUAAAAGUAAGAUUGACUUGGGGGUCCAUUUAGGAUAGUUUUUGCUUUUAUUUUUUUAGAAGAGCUUAGUGAGAAAAUCCCAUCUGACUAGCUUUCUCUAAAAACACUUCUAACUCGACAAAUAACUUUAGAAAUUAUUCAAACAAACCCAGAGCAACUUCUUAGUCUCAACGGUAGCCUUAGACUUUUCAAAAGCCCCAGCAAUGGUCCCUUACUUUUAAGCACAACCAAACAUGAUCGAACACAGCUGAAGGAAGUGAGUGGCAAUUGU
rnacentral:lncRNA from 1 species